UUUCACACACACAUUCCGUUAGUCACUCACGAAAAGAAAAGACGUGGAUAUUCUUAUUUGCAUUGUGAUAGAGAUUUUCCACUUGGGGGAAAAUCUUUAAACAGAAUCACGGCCAAUAAACAUUUGUUUAUAGUUUUCAAUUUUUGUUUGAUAGAAAACUAAAUAGUGCAAGCAAGUAAAAUACAGUGUAAAAAGCUUUUCUCUUACCCUGCUAAAGGGGUGGUGAAAAACCCGUGAACACACACCAGGUAGCAGCAGUUGGAGGUGUGUAGUGCGGUAAUUGUGGAGUGAAAAGGCGCUCCGUCGUGAUGUCACUGCUUCACAUUUUUCGUUAAUUGGAUCGUUUUUUUGUGCCUUUAAAAAGCAGCGGAUGCUAUAAUUUCUUAUAUUACUGAUUUUGUUAGUGUAGCAACAAAUUAGACUGCUGUCGCGCAUGUUUAUGCCAACACAAAGCUAAGUCUUUUUCAUUAAUUUAGCUGUUGGAAGUGCAUUGUCGCAAUUCAAUUUAAUAUAAUAAUUGAGUACAAUUUAUCAAUUAAGUUGCAAUUCAUAGUGAGAUCGAGUAUACGCGUUUUAUACAUUCAACAUUCCACAGCAGUAAUUUGCGUAGACGUGUUAAAAAAAAGAUUGGCAAAAUUAGAAAAUAAAAGCACGACAUGAAAUUUUAACGAUAAAGCAUGAUACCAAAGAAAGAGUUGUGCUAAAAGCGAUAACUUCUGCAUAGCAGGAAGUGGUGGAGUUAAGCAGAGUAGAAUUCACAAAACAUACAUACAUACAUACGUCCAAGCAGCAAAAGUGUAAGCGCAAGCAAAGUGAAAUUUUAUUAUUUGGUUUAACUUGCUAAAAGAUACCGACUCAAACGAGUUAGCAACACGGCAAGCAACAUAUACACAUACACGUCCCUCCAAAAUCAACGAUUCGUAACGCUAUACAGGCGAUCACAACACGAUUCCGCCCACAAACAACCUGCCACGCCCACUGUUGAAUAACUAGCCGCCGUGUCGUCAUAUAAACACAAAACGGCCGCCGUCCAGUGCAGCACAAAGAACACAACACAACGGAGAAACAUAGUUUCGAGUAUUACAAAGUGCCACCGACAUACGGUGAACUUCCUCCCAAAAACCGUCAUACAACUUAAACACAAAUACGUUUCGUCGCAUAAUUGAUUGAUUUAAAUCCCCCCAUCCAUCCUUUCCAAAAGUUAAACACCCGUCCAUUUCAAAAACACAACACAACAAAACGUCCGCAAUAUGUCGGAAUUGGCGAAUGUGGCAACAGCCGGCAAAUCCAAUGAGGAAUUGCAUAUGGAAGUGGAGCGUCUGACGCGCGAACUAGAUCAGGCAGCUAGUGAACGUGCACAAUCAGCGCAAUAUGGUCUAUCGCUGUUGGAGGAGAAAUUGUCGCUAGAACAAAAGUGUGAGGAGUUGGAGAAUCUGUACGAUCAUGCAAAACAUGAAUUGGACAUCACACAAGAGGCCCUGGCCAAAUUCCAGACCUCGCAAAAGGUCACCACAAAAACUGGUAUCGAACAGGAGGAGUCACUGCUCACCGAAACGGCAGAACUUGAGACCACUCUAAAUAGUAAAAUACUCGACUUGGAAAAUGAGACAAAGCAAUUGCGUCACGAAUUGGAACGAGUACGCAACGAACGUGAUCGUAUGCUGCAAGAGAAUACCGAUAUUGGACGCGACAAAUCAGAUAAUGAGGCUGAGAAACUGCGCCUCAAGGCCGAGGUGAAAGAUUUGAAAUUUCGAGAGACACGUAUGCUAACGGAAUACACAGAAUUGGAGGAGGAAAACAUAUCGCUGCAAAAGCAGGUGUCGAGCUUGAGAAGUUCGCAGGUGGAGUUUGAAGGUGCCAAACACGAGAUACGUCGCCUAACCGAAGAGGUUGAGGUCUUGAACUCACAAGUGGAUGAGUUGGCAAACCUGAAGAAGAUUGCUGAGAAGCAAAUGGAGGAAGCUUUAGAGGCUUUGCAGUGCGAACGUGAGGCAAAAUAUGCGCUCAAGAAGGAGCUGGAUAGUCAUUUGAAUCGCGAAUCCAUGUACAAGAUAAGCAAUCUCGCCUAUCUACGCAGUAAUAUGGACGACAACAUAAGCGCAAAUAGCGAUGGCGAAGAGGAGAAUCUCGCCUUGAAGCGACUCGAAGCCGAUUUGACGACCGAAUUGAAUGCAACGGACGGCACCAAAUGCGAUCUCUUCUCCGAGGUGCAUUUGAACGAGCUGAAGAAGUUGGAGAAACAAUUAGAAUCGAUUGAGAAUGAGAAAAUGCUACUCACAGCGAAUUUACGCGAGGCACAAACUAGUUUGGAUAAAUCACAAAAUGAAAUACAGAAUUUCAUGGCUCGCCUAGCGUUGCUAACGGCACAUGUCGACGCCUUGCUGCAAUUGAAGAAACAAUUAGACAUUAAAGAUGAUUCCAUCGAUGCGGUGAAACGACGCAAUGACGAACAAAAUGUACGACAACAACUAUUGGAUAUACUCUCGCAGUAUAACAGUUGGUUCACGCUAUCCUCCAAAGAGAUUGAUGGUCUCAAGACUGAUUUAGUGGAACUGCAAAAGGGUUUCAACUACACCGACGCAAUGACCACGCUCCGCAAUGAGGUCACAAAUUUGAAAAAUAAACUGCUCAGCACCGAGCAGAAAUCGUUGGAUCUGCAGAGUGAUGUGCAGACACUCACAAGUAUUUCACAAAAUGCUGGCCAAAGUUUGGGUACGGCACGCUCAACUUUGGUGGCCUUAAGCGACGAUUUGGCACAGCUAUAUCAUCUCGUUUGCACCGUUAACGGUGAGAUACCGACGCGAAUUAUGCUCGACACGAAGAGCGAUGAUAUGAGCUUCGAAAACGAUUCGCUUACUGCCAUACAGUCGCAGUUCAAAUCAGAUAUUUUCACUUCCCGCUCACACACAAUUGAGGAUUUGCAGGGACUUGCUGACUCAGUUGAGAUCAAGAAGUACGUCGACACUGUGAGCGAUCAGAUCAAGCAUUUGAAGACCGCUGUCGAGCACACAAUCGAACAUAACAAGAAUAAAGUUCGCGGCGAUGUUACUGAAGCUGAUAAAUACAAUCGCGAGGAAGUCGAGGAGUUGCAAGAGCAAAUCGUACGCCUUAAGGGCUUGCUCUCACUCAAACGUGAUCAAAUCGCUACAUUGCGUACGGUCUUGAAAUCCAACAAACAGACCGCCGAGGUGGCGCUCACCAAUCUCAAAUCGAAAUAUGAGAAUGAGAAGACAGUGGUCAGCGAGACGAUGGCCAAAUUGCGCAAUGAACUGAAGAUACUCAAGGAGGACGCAGCGACAUUCUCAAGUUUGCGCGCCAUGUUCGCCGCUCGUUGCGAGGAAUACGUCACACAGGUGGAUGACCUCAAUCGCAAACUAGAAGCCGCUGAGGAAGAGAAGAAGACACUCAAUCAGCUGUUGCGUUUGGCUGUACAGCAGAAAAUUGAAUUGACUCAACGCAUGGAGGAAAUGGAAAUCGAUCGGUGGGUGCCCAUGCGGCGUUAGGCCUAAUAUAAAAAAUGAAGAGUUAAAGUUAAAUGAAAAAAAAAAUCCAAAAAAUAUUAAAAAAACAUUUAAAAAACUCUAGUUAAAAUCUAGUGCCCCCAAUCUAGUGCCCCCCAACUAUCUGCUCAGCUCGUUAUCAUAUCAAUAAUUAAGUGCGUGUGUGUGUUCGCGUUCGAAAUUUGUGCUUAGUGCUUGCUGUUCAUAGAACUUUAUAUAUUUUUUCCGUUAUGCUAAAUAUUUGCCCAAAAAGCAUAUUUUGUAUUUUUAUCGUUUAUAUCCCGUUUACCUCCACACACCCUACCAAAUCAACAACAUUAAUUUAACCUGUACGUUUCAAUUGCGUCCAACUUACGUUUAACUUUGCCAACAACAAAUAAACUUUAAGCCGCGUUCCCAAUUGUGAAACACGUUUUGCGCGUCGUUCGAUGCCACCACAACGCGGCAGCAGCGGCAAAUCAUUCUCGUCACGUCCCUCAACACGUAAUCCGACUGGCAGUAAUCAGAAUCAAUUCUAACAUAAAAUAAGCGUGCAGCGAAAAAUUUUAGCCUUAGUUUAUACACUGCUUAAGUUAUAAAGUCACUUUUGUGUAAACACACUUGUCACACUGUCACGAGUCAAGAGUCACGUGUCACACAUACACAAACACACUGUCACUUUUGAGGAAAAAAGUUAGUACGGUGUUUAAAGAGAGUGUGUAGAAGAGAGAGAGAAGACCUCUUCACAACGUACUAAAGCAUUUUGCCGCCCGUUUAACUAAAGACACUACGUUAUAUUUGAAAAGUGACCGUUAGUCCAUAGAAUUUGGUUUUCUAUUAACUAUUAGUAAUACAAGACACUAUACUAUAACGACUUUAUAAUGGGUAUUAACAUUUAUGUUUAUGCACACAGUUAUGGCUAAAUAUUGUUUAACAACAAAUUUGUUGGUAUUAAAAUGUUCGAAGAGAACAGAGAUAUGAGGAAAGCUUUAAGCUCUACUGUAACUUAUAAAGAAGCCCAAGAUUUUUCCUUGAAAUCAUUUUUACAUGCGCUAGUCUGGAUCUUAUUAACAACUCUCCAAAAAGCUCAAGUCUGCACAGCGCUUUUUGAUUAUUAUAAAAGAAAGCUCCGUAGCUUUUGAAGUAGAACUGCAUUUUUUUAAAUGUAUUUUGUAUAUUGAGCUUUAAGCAGCAAAAGCUUUAAAAAGCUCUUAAGCACAUUCGCGAAACCACAAAGUUUGAAAGAAACAAUGUUUAUUUUUAUAAGAAAUUUUUUUCAAUUUUCAAAUGUUUUCACUUAUUUGAGAUAUUUCAUUUGUGUUUAAAAAUGAGCUUUAAGCUUUUAUUUAAAUAUCAUCUAAUAAGAGCUUAAAGCUUAAAAAGCUUUCUGAACAUUGUACGAUUUUCGAAAUGUCAAAAUUAAUGUAUUCUUACGGUAGAGCUUUUAGCUUUAAACAAUAAAAGCUUCUACUAAAGCUUGAAAGUAAACAACUUCAAGAAGAAAAAAAAUUCAAGGUUUUAACUGGUCUAGAUUUAAAACACAUUUUUCAAAAGAAGCACAUUUUCAUUUGUGUUUCAAACUGAGCUUUAAGCUUUAAAUAAAAUAUCAUUUAAGAAGAAUUUAAGGCUUAAAAAGGUUACUGGGCAUUGUACGAUUCAAUAAAUGCUUACCAGAAUCGAUCAAUCAAAAGUUAGUCAGAAGAGCUUUUAGCUAUAAACAAUAUAAGCUUCAACUGGAGCUUUCAGCUCGAAAGCAACUGCAAGAAGAAACAAAUUUGAAGGCAUUAAACGAUUUUUGAAUUGUGAACCUUAAAAAAAUUUAGGAGGGCUUUAAGCUUUGAAGAAACUAAACUUCAACUAGAGCUUUGAGCUUUAAAGUUUUUUAGAAGUGCUUAAAACCUAAAAAGCGCUUCUACUUGGUAUAAUUUCGAAAAUCGAAAAUUUCAAACUAUUAAAUAAGACUUUCAAUCAGUAACAACUGAUGUAUAUAUGAUAUGCUCUAAAAUCGAGCUUUGAAGGAAUUGUGAAAUCAAAAAAGUCACAAAAAGCUUACUUAAACAAAUGUAAGAGUUCCUACACCAAGAUUGGUAGGAAAAAAAUAAAAUUAAUUUUUGAUAUAGAAAGUUCAAAGCUUGUUUUACAACAAAAAAAGCUCCAUUUUAAGCUCUAAAAGCUUUCCACUCAAAUAUUUAUAUAAUAAAUCGUACUAAAUUAUCGUUUUCAUUCAGAACUCGGAGAACGAAUACCUAUUUUACAACAAAAGCUAAAUACGAAGCUAUAAAAGCUUACCAAAGCUUGUUUUACAACAACAAAAACUCAUUACCAAACUCUAAAAGCUUAUCACUCAUACAUUUAAAUAAAAAUCGUAUUAAAUUGUUGUCAUCAUUAAGAACUUAGAGGACGUAUGCCUAUUUUACAACAACAAAAGCUCAAUAUUAAGCUCAUAAAAGCUUGCCACUCGAAAAUUUAUGCAAAAAAAUCGUACUCAAAUUCCAACUACCAACAAAUUUCGAUUUCUCUGUUGUUAAAUCAAAAAUGAAAGCAAACUGUGUGCAAUUUUGUAUUCUCCUUUAACACACAUACGCAUAGCCAUGUUGUCUCUAGACACUUGCUAUCGCCGUUUUGUGCGUCUCAACUAACUAAAUAGUAUUGUUUAAAAUGGUUUGUUACUUACAUUUUCUUAUACACUUAAGUAUUUUUAGGUGAUUAUUUCUCAAACAUAUACAUACAUACAUAUAUACACUAUUUAUAUUUACAAAUAUAAGUUCCAUUAACGCUAAACAGAAACAAGCAGCUAAUAGCAUAACACACAUAUGAUUUAAAAAAACCAAAAUUUAAAACAAUUUAAAGUGCACUUUGUAAAUUUUUGAAAAAAAAAAAUUAAAUUAAAUUAAUUAUUUGUUUAAAAAUUCAGCUGUACGCUAAAGCGCAAAAGAAAACAAAAUUACAUACAAAAUUGUAUAUUUUCCAAAUUUAAAUUAAAUUAAAACACAGUAGGCAAAUAUUAAGUUGCCAACAACAACAAAAACAAAAAAAAAAAACAA